GUGGCAAUGCCAGAUGGUCCAGACUGCCCAGGGUUUGGACAUGCCAGAAUUCAGGCACAGUCUAUAUAUGGUGCCCAGCAGAAGGAAAAAGUGGAAAAAGGCACCCGUAAUUGAGCUCAGAUUUGAGUUUGUUUUCAAUGGCAGACGGAAAUGGCACUAAUAUCAAGGAAGCACUUUCCCUGGCUCUGUUCAAAUGGAUAUUCUACCCUGCUCUGGCCAUGAACUAAUACAGGAAUGUACAGACAGAAGCCAGCAUCAGAACUCUGUGUUCCAGAUGACAGCUUGUGCCUCUCAGACCUCCCUGGGCAUUGGGAGAGGUUUGCUCACCUCAGGAGAACAGUGGCUACAAAAUGUACUUCUUCUAAUGCAUGGGGUAUGGUGACAUAUGAUUAUGUUACUGGAAUAGCAGUUGGAGUUCUGGAUCGUUAAUCCAAAGAUAAUGAAUCCAUCGGGAGUAUCUACAGGAGGCACUGCCUUAAGAAGGCAACAUCCAUCAUCAAAGAUCCCCAUCAUCUGUGCCGUGCCAUCUUCUCGCAGCUACCGUCGGGCAGGAGGUACAGGAGCCUGAAGUCCCACACCACCAGGUUUGGGAUUGACUACUUCCUUUCAACCAUCAGGUUCUUGAACCGACCUGCACAACCCUAACCCUAC